GAUGAACGCUGGCGGCGUGCCUAAUACAUGCAAGUCGAGCGAACAGACGAGGAGCUUGCUCCUCUGCCGUUAGCGGCGGACGGGUGAGUAACACGUGGAUAACCUUCCUAUUAGACUUGGAUAACUUCGGGAAACCGGAGCUAAUACCGGAUAAUAUAUUGAACCGCAUGGUUCAAUAGUUAAAGACGGUUUUGCUGUCACUUAUAGAUGGUUCCGCGGCGCAUUAGCUAGUUGGUAAGGUAACGGCAUACCAAGGCAACGAUGCGUAUCCGACCUGAGAGGAUGAUCGGCCACACUGGAACUGAGACACGGUCCAGACUCCUACGGGAGGCAGCAGUGGGGAAUAUUGGGAAAUGGGCGAAAGCCUGAUGAAGCAAUGCCGCGUGAGUGAAGAAGGUCUUCGGAUUGUAAAACCCUGUUGUUGGGAAAGAAAAACAGUAGGAGAAAAUAUGGACGUUUUGACGGUACCCAAAGAGAAAGCAACGGCUAACUUCGUG
rnacentral:rRNA from 1 species